rnacentral:tRNA from 4 species
GCUCGCGUAGCUCAACUGGCAGAGCAGGGGACUCUUAAUCCCAAGGUUCAGGGUUCGACUCCCUGCGCGAGCACCA